GGAAUUUUGGGCAAUGGGCGAAAGCCUGACCCAGCAACGCCGCGUGAAGGAUGAAGUAUUUCGGUAUGUAAACUUCGAAAGAAUGGGAAGAAUAAAUGACGGUACCAUUUAUAAGCUCCGGCUAACUACGUGCCAGCAGCCGCGGUAAUACGUAGGGAGCAAGCGUUGUUCGGAUUUACUGGGCGUAAAGGGCGCGUAGGCGGCCUGUCAAGUCAAUUGUGAAAUCUCCGAGCUUAACUCGGAACGGCCAAUUGAUACUGUCAGGCUAGAGUGCAGAAAGGGCAAUCGGAAUUCUUGGUGUAGCGGUGAAAUGCGUAGAUAUCAAGAGGAACACCUGAGGCGAAGGCGGGUUGCUAGGCUGACACUGACGCUGAGGCGCGAAAGCCAGGGGAGCAAA
rnacentral:rRNA from 1 species